rnacentral:rRNA from 1 species
ACAACGGGGGUGCGAGGGCUGUCGCUGACCUUUUAAAAGGUCGUGCACGCCCGAGCGCUCUCACACAUCCAUCUCACACCUUUGUGCAUCGCCGCGUGGGUCCCCCUUUGCAGGAGGGCUCACGUUUUCACACAAAACUUGAUACAGUGUAGAAUGUUAUUUUUGCGGUCACACGCAAUCAAUACAACUUUUAACAACGGAUCUCUUGGCUCUCGCAUCGAUGAAGAACGCAGUGAAAUGCGAUACGUAAUGUGAAUUGCAGAAUUCAGUGAAUCAUCGAAUCUUUGAACGCACCUUGCGCCCCUUGGCAUUCCGAGGGGCACACCCGUUUGAGUGUCGUGAAAUCAUCAAAAACCCUUUUCUGUUUACCGAAAAGGAUUUUUGGACUUGGAGGUUUAAUGCUUGCCUUUCACUUUUGAAAGCGAGCUCCUCUCAAAUGAAUUAGUGGGGUCCGCUUUGCUGGUCCUUGACGUGAUAAGAUGUUUCUACGUUUUGNAUUUAGCACUGUCCCUUUGGAUUCCUGCUCCUAACUGUCCAACGG